CUCGGGUACUGGAAACUAAACACGUCUUUCCCAUCAUGACAGGUUUUCAUAGACCGGAUUAGCACGCUAGAAAAGAGGGCUUUGACGGGAGCCAUCACCACCAACAAAUGGAGGUUUGCGCUUAAGAGAGAAGUGAG